GCACAUACGCAAACAUUGUUGGGUCUAAUUCUUUCAGCCCUAAUUUCCAUCCUUUGUAAGGAUGGUAGAGGGCAAAUGUCGACCCCAGAUCCACUGUCCAACAUAACCAUUUUCAAAUAACAUCCUUCACACUUGAUGGUCAAAUGAAGAGCUUUGUUGCGAGCGUCACCUUCUAGAGGUAAGUCAUUUCGGCUGAAGGAGAUUUUAAAUCCACUUGGAAACUUAGGAAAAGAAAGAAAAAUUAGUGUGAAAAAUAAAGUUUUUUUUCGAGAAAUCCUUGUAUUUCAAUUAUGCCUUUUAGGUUGCCUAUGUUGAUGAUCAUGUGUGUGUGAGUGAGGGUCUAUUCCUUUUAUAGGGUGUAUAAGAAUAAGAAUAAUAAGGAAUCUUCCACCCUAAUUUUAAAAAAUCUCAGCUAGUACAACAUCUUUUUAACAGAUUUGGUACAACUAUCUGUCCUUUUUACCUAAAUUAAGCAUUUUCAUACUAAAAAUAGGGACAAUUAUAUGAUACUAGAAUCUUCUAAUAUUUUUCUCAUUUUAAAUUCCCAAUUUACCCUUUUAAGUUUUUUUAUUGCACCUUCAACCCCCUAAUUUCUAUUUGUUAUCAACUAAGGUUUCUACUGAAUUCUGAAUAGCAACCAAGAACACUGAUCAAAUCAGACAUCAUACUAAGCUUAUCAAAACUGCAUGACACAUUGUCAGAUGGUACAACAUCUUUUUAACAGAUUUGGUACAAUUGUCUGUCCUUUUUACCUAAAUUCAGCAUUUUCAUACUAAAAAUAGGGACAGUUAUAUAAUACUAGAAUCUUCCGAUAUUUUUCUCAUUUUAAAUUCCCAAUUUACCCUUUUAAGUUAUGUUUAUUGCAACUUCAACGCCCCUAAUUUCUAUUUGUUAUCAACUAAGGUUUCCACUGAAUUCUGAAUAGCAACCAAGAACACAGAUCAAAUCAGACCUCAUACGAAGCAAAUCAAGACUGCACGACACGUCAUGUGAUUACAACCUUAGAGUUAAUUAAAUAAUAACUUGCAAUCUAAAUUAACUAACAUGCAUUUAAGUAGUCUAAAUACAGAAAAUAAUUUUGUUAGGUUGAUUCAAUUAGACUAAAUAAAAUGUGAUUAACUAAAUAGUAAUGUGGUUAACUGAAGAAUUAUAAAACUAGUUUAAACUAGUCUUAUCUAAUUAAACACACAGUAACAAGGAAUCAAGGCAACAAAAAUAGAUAAAAACAAACCCUAAAUAUAAAAAAUAAAAAAGAAUAAACAGAGACAAAGGGAAAAGAACAAGGUAUUGAUUUUUGCUGGAAGAUGCAUAAGUGACUGAGGCAAAUCAGAGCUUUGUUGGCCAAUAUAGAGUUUUUCUGAAUCCGGCGAGCCUUUAAGAGAACCAAAACUGAAGUUAAUCGAUUGUUCUUAACAAAAAACAAUCGAUUAGCAUAAACAUUGGCUCAAAUCAAGCCUUAGAAACCAUAGAAAUCAAAAGGGAGAAAGGGUUAGGGUUUUGGUUUUCUUUUGAAAUUUCAGAUCUAAAACUUGGAAAAAUCGGGUGAUUAUUUGAGGAAAUUGGUGGGGGAAUAGUGAUGAGGGGAGGCUGGGAUUGUGGGGUUAUAUUUUAGGGGAGCUUGGAGACGGGCCGCCACCAUGAGGCGAUAUCAGGUGGCGGCAAGAAGCGGAGGUGAGAGAGACGACUUGGUGAAGGGGAAAGUGAAUCAGUUCUCUAGGGUUUGGGGGGUUCGACAUUUUUAAGGGAAAUGGAGAUCAAUGUGAGCCAUUGGAUCAAAAUGAUCCAACGUCUAGGAUUAAAGGGAGGGGAAACAACACUGUUUGGAUUAAUAAGGGUUGACUUGGACUUGGACCGAGCUUGGAGAUGGACUGAGCGGACGUGAUUGUUCUUUUGGGCCAAAUAAAAAAUGAUUUUUGCCUAAACUUGGCGACAAACAAAGCUCUUCCUUCAUUUUUUUCCUUUUCUUUGUUUUUCUUUUCUUUUCUCUAAUUUUAAACACUUAACUAAAUUAAUCAAAGUCCUAAUUAAAUCCUAAAUCAAACUAAUUUAUAAAAUCAGGCUAUUAUCUAUUUGUAAUAUUUACAUUAUGAAUUAAUCCUAAAUUGAUGAAGAAAAAAUUACUAUUCUAACACUCAAAGCUAAAAAUGUAAAAAAUGAACAUUAUUUUUUUGUGAUUUUUAUUUAAUAAAGUGAUUAAAUAUUAAUCUAAUCCUAAAAUACUAACACAAAAUCUAAAAUGCAAUGCAUGAAUUUUUUGACAUUUUUGUGCUAUUUUUCAUGGUUUUAAUAAUAUUAAACGUGCACUAAAAAUGCAAACAACCAAUAAACUUCUACAAAAAUCCUAUAAAACUAAAAGCAAUUUAGAAAAACCUAUUUUUUAUUUUUUUAGAAGUAUUCUAAUUGGGAAAAAAUUACAUGCUCGCAAUUGAUAUUAUUAAGUUAAUUAUUAUUAGAUAUAAGUGGUUCGGAAGUGCAAUCUAGAGGAAAAGCGGUGGUUGAGGGUUGAUUGAGGGCCGUGGAAAUGAGGUAAGUAUUAUGGCUAACCUUUUCUUAAGAGAUUAGGUGAUACUGCUUUAUUUGCAACGUGUUUAGUUGUUGAGUACAAUGUGUAGGUGAAGUGAUGAGUAUAUAUACGUUGUUGUCGGAUCAUAGAAUGCGAGUGAGUCUUAUACUUGUGACUGUUGUAGUUCUUUAUACAUACUAUUCAUGCCGAAACUGGUUAUCCUUCAUGUUAAACAAGUCUUAUUAUGAUAUCCUUGUAUUGGAUAUUGGUUGAGUAUUGACUCAAUUUGAGAUUUAUAUUGUAAAGUUAAAUUUUGAAAUGAGGCUGGUUAUUGAUGAUUCUCUUCCUGGAUUGUUACUGUUUCUGUUGUUGUGUGGGUGAGAAAGAGAGUAAAUAACGAAAGGCGAUGCCAUACAAGAUAUUGUGAGUGAGUAUUAAUAUACGAAGGGUGAUGUAGUAUUGUAUUCUGUGAGUGAUAAUGCACGAAGGGUGAUGUUGUAUCGUAUUCUGAUAUUGAUAAUGCACGAUGGGUGAAAUCUUGCCAUGUUUUGAGAGAGUUAAGACACAAAGGGUGAUACCGUGUCAUUCUAUUAUUUCUUAUGGUAAGGACAAGAAUAAAAGCUCGAAGGGUGAUGUUGUGCACGUGUUUGCUUUGUUAUUAUUUCCAUUGGUUCAAAGCAUGAUAUUUACUGUGUUUCUGUAUGGUACUAUUUCAAGAUUUGAUAUUCCCCUCAACAUGUUUUUCUCUUUCUCUAUUAACUGUUAAAUUCCCGUUGUUGUUAUUUUCUGGUAUAUGAUUUAAUUGCACAGGUUCGUGUUGUUAUCGUGUUUUAGCCUCGUUAGUACUACGCCGAGGUUAGGCUUAGCACUUACCAGUACAUAGGGUCAGUUGUAUUGAUACUUCACUAUGCACUUUUCUGUGCAGAUUUCUGUACCGAACCUCGUUGACUAGAGUUGGGUUGCUGCCUUCAGUCUAUCAAGAGAUCCAAGUUAGAUGUGCCAGCGUUCGUAGACCCUGGAGUCCCCUUCCCUCUAUAUUAGUUUCUCUGUUUUCUUUCAUUCAAGAACAAAUGUAUUUUCUUUAAACCAGUAUUUGUCAAAACUUUUAGAUGUUUGUAGAUUGUUAUACUAGAUCUUUGGGUAG
rnacentral:lncRNA from 1 species